rnacentral:lncRNA from 1 species
CUGUGCCGGUAUUGGGAUAAACCGUAAUCGUACCCCCUCCUAACUGCCAAAGUGUCAUGGCCGCCGUCGGGACCUAUUGUGCUGACAUUUACAAUGUUUACAUAUAGAAAAGUUUGUUUUUUUCUGCUUAUAAUGCCGUUUUCUAAAGAUAUUAGUGAACAAAAUCGAUUUGCUAACAAUAUUUAAUAUAUUUUAAAUGUGCUAAAAUUGGAUUCAACAGCAAAAGUCGCAUAAAUAACAUAUAAAUAACGAAUUUGUUCACCUAUUACAAAUGGGGUUAUGUGGUUGUAACUGUUUAUUUUGGGAAUAAAAUGAAAAUGAUCAAUUAAACGACUGGAAAACUAUAGUGAAGUGAAGAACAUCUUGAAGUUCCAAUGAUGUUUCAAGAUGAGGUAAAUCGAAAUAAUUGUAUGUUAGAAGGACAGAGAAUAUGAAGAAAUGUUAUUGCUGCAUAUUUAGUGUAGUGAAAUACAAACUUCAAACAUUAUAAUAUAUUUUUUGAUUUCAAACAUUUCAUAUGAUUAUGAAAGAACAUCUUUCUUUUUAAAACAAUGAAGAAGUGAAGAACAUAAUAAAGUUCCAACGAAAAUGAUUCCAGAUGAGGAAAAUCGAAAUAAUGGUUGUAUGUUACAUGUAUAGAGAAUACGAAGAAAUGUUAUUGCUGCAAACUUAGUGUAGUGAAUUAAAAACUUAUUGUCAAAUACAAAUCAAUUUAUUUCAUACUUUUAUAAUAUAUAGUGAUAUAAUUUUAUAUGUGUUCAAAUAAAAAUAUUAAUAAAUAAAAUACAAUAAACACAAA